UACGAAGGUCCCGAGCGUUAUCCGGAUUUAUUGGGUUUAAAGGGUGCGUAGGCGGGCUAUUAAGUCAGUGGUGAAAGCCCCAAGCUUAACUUGGGAACUGCCAUUGAUACUGAUGGUCUUGAGUACAUUUGAGGUGGGCGGAAUGUGUCAUGUAGCGGUGAAAUGCUUAGAUAUGACACAGAACACCGAUUGCGAAGGCAGCUCACUAAACUGUAACUGACGCUGAGGCACGAAAGCGUGGGGAGCAAACAGG
rnacentral:rRNA from 1 species